ensembl:lncRNA
UAGGUGAUAAAAAAAAUUAAUUUUAUUUUAGUUAAAUGUACUCCCAAACCGGGAGUUUUGGGAGGAUGCAACAUCAGGUUUACAAGUAUGUCUCAUUAAACAAGUUGAGAAAGUUAUUUUUGAUCUUUUAGAUAAUGUGUCAGUAAUCAAAACUGGCAGCAAGGUGACAUCAAGGAUUAAAAUUGAAAAGCUUUCACAAUGUAUGUGAUAAUGUUACAUACUUAACAGGCAAGAAUCUUCCAUUCUGUCUCUUCCACUUUAUCAGUCACUCACUGCUAUCUAUGUUCCAGGUAGCCUGCCUUACUGGUAACUAUGCAAAAUGGGUCAGGAAAAUGAGUAAGAAGAAAAAACAAAAUGCAGGCUGGGAACCGACAUUUGGUUAAAAAAAAGAAAAAAUUCUUUCUACACUGGUCACUAUAAAGUGACAAAUUUUAUGGCUGUGACUAACUGGUUUAAUGCAGAGAGUUUAAUUUAAAAAACAAAGAAUAAAAACAACAAACAGCACCUGUGCAUUCUUCUACAGUAACAAUUAGAAGGAUCAAACAGUUACUUCUCUUCGGAUAGAAUGCAGGAUAAGCAAAGAACAGCAAAAAACGAAAGAGUCUAAAGAGGAGAACAGAAAAUCCUAAUCCUUAUUUUUCCCCUUUAUAUCGAAUUUGCAAAAUUAAUACCUUACUAGAAUUCUGUUACCUUACCACUGAAGAUAACUGACAGCUUGUUAGAACAAAUCUAGGAGGGCCAUUCUCUUUUUCCCCUGCAAAAAGCAAGGUGAAAGAGAAAAAUUAUGUCAAAUGAAGAACAAAGAUUUUCAACUACUGCACCUGCUCAAAUUCCAGAAAGAAUUUCCCCACACACACACUACUGUGUGAAAGACCCACACAAUUAACAGGAUAGACUGCAUGAGUCACAUACUUACAUGUGGGAAACUGGCAAGGUAAAUAUAUGUGAAACAGUUAUCAAGCACAAAGUAAACACAUAAGAAAAAUUAGAGGAAAAAAUACAUCUGCUAAUCUUUCAAUAAAAACAAAUCUUGAAAGUUUAGAAUAGUCUGUGACACAGUCUAAGAAGAGAGAAACAAGGCACUGAAGUUGUUCUACACUUUUCAAUACAAAAGUACUGCCUGGAACACAGAGCACAUUUGAUUUCUAACAAAGCAACAAGACCCAGCAAUUCAGUUGUGGAAUAAGCAUCCUCAGAACAGAAACCUCUUAAGCCAUGGGAAUUUUCCCCAUAGUUCAACAGACCUCCUAGGACUUAAGGAAGUAGCUUAAUGAGUAAUUGUGAAGUUCUUCAAUACCCUUCUUGGUUUUAGAUUUCCCUCCUCAAACUCCUAGCUUACUAUAUAAAUUGAGGUGAUUUACAGCGUGCAGAAAAAAAAAUAUGGCUUAUGUUUCAUCUAUUGGCAUUUAUAAAGCUUCCUGGAAGAGAAACAUGUACAUACUAAAUCCUCUGCAAUUAAAGAAAAAAUUUGCACAAUAAAUAUCUGCUCAGUUAGUACAUUCAGAGGAUAGUGACCAACAUGAGUCCAUUUGUAAUUUAUACUGCAUGUCACAUAAUUCUUAAAAAUUAAACAUUUCCUUCUGCUUUGGCUCACCAAAAGGUGAUUUUAUUCUGAAGCUGUUAUAUAUAUAUCUUUAAGUAGACAUGAUUACAAGACACGAGAAACUGCACAAAAGCCAUCAGAUUUCAGUUUUCUUUGUAUUUGUUAUGGGGGAAAAAAAAAA